rnacentral:rRNA from 1 species
CGAACGCUGGCGGCGUGCUUAACACAUGCAAGUCGAACGGAAAGGCCCUGCUUUUGUGGGGUGCUCGAGUGGCGAACGGGUGAGUAACACGUGAGUAACCUGCCCUUGACUUUGGGAUAACUUCAGGAAACUGGGGCUAAUACCGGAUAGGAGCUCCUGCUGCAUGGUGGGGGUUGGAAAGUUUCGGCGGUUGGGGAUGGACUCGCGGCUUAUCAGCUUGUUGGUGGGGUAGUGGCUUACCAAGGCUUUGACGGGUAGCCGGCCUGAGAGGGUGACCGGCCACAUUGGGACUGAGAUACGGCCCAGACUCCUACGGGAGGCAGCAGUGGGGAAUAUUGCACAAUGGGCGGAAGCCUGAUGCAGCAACGCCGCGUGCGGGAUGACGGCCUUCGGGUUGUAAACCGCUUUCGCCUGUGACGAAGCGUGAGUGACGGUAAUGGGUAAAGAAGCACCGGCUAACUACGUGC